GAUGAACGCUGGCUACAGGCUUAACACAUGCAAGUCGAGGGGAAACGACGGGGAAGCUUGCUUCCCCGGGCGUCGACCGGCGCACGGGUGAGUAACGCGUAUCCAACCUGCCUCUGACUGAGGGAUAACCCGUCGAAAGUCGGCCUAAUACCUCAUGGCAUCGUCUGCGGGCAUCCAACGACGAUUAAAGAUUUCAUCGGUCAGGGAUGGGGAUGCGUCUGAUUAGCUUGUUGGCGGGGUAACGGCCCACCAAGGCUACGAUCAGUAGGGGUUCUGAGAGGAAGGGCCCCCACAGUGGAACUGAGACACGGGCCAAACUCCUACGGGAGGCAGCAGUUAGGAAUAUUGGUCAAUGGGCGGGAGCCUGAACCAGCCAAGUAGCGUGCAGGAUGACGGCCCUAUGGGUUGUAAACUGCUUUUAUGCGGGGAUAAAGUGAGGGACGUGUCCUUCAUUGCAGGUACCGCAUGAAUAAGGACCGGCUAAUUCCGUG
rnacentral:rRNA from 1 species